rnacentral:rRNA from 1 species
AACAAACGCUGGCGGCGUGCCUAAUACAUGCAAGUCGAACGGGGAAAGCUUUCGGGUGAGUACUAGUGGCGCACGGGUGAGUAACGCGUGGAUAAUCUGCCUUAGAGUGGGGGAUAACUAGUCGAAAGAUUAGCUAAUACCGCAUAAGACCACAGGAACCGAGGUUCUAGAGGUCAAAGGUUUUUCGCUCUAAGAUGAGUCCGCGUAAGAUUAGCUAGUUGGUGAGGUAACGGCUCACCUAGGCAACGAUCUUUAACUGGUCUGAGAGGAUGAUCAGUCACACUGGAACUGAGACACGGUCCAGACUCCUACGGGAGGCAGCAGUAGGGAAUAUUGCACAAUGGAGGAAACUCUGAUGCAGCGACGCCGCGUGAGUGAUGAAGGCCUUUGGGUCGUAAAGCUCUGUCGCAGGGGAAUAACACAAUGAAUGUACCCUGUAAGAAAGGAUCGGCUAACUUCAUGCCAGCCGCCGCAGUAACAC